ensembl:lncRNA
GAGGUGCUGGUCAGCCGGGGUUUUCAAGCUAACGUUACAUUUGGACGGAGUCAGACUGGUUAAAUAUAUUAAUAUAUAAUAUUAAAUAUUACCCACCGCUUCCAGGGCUUUCACGAGUGACGUCAUAUCUAGCCUAGUUUUGAAACAUGGAAGUUGUGACCUAAAUCUUAUCGGUCUUCUCUCGGCAAAGAAGCGGUGAGGAGAAAAUUGGUCAUUGUGAGAAGGGUAUGCUGGAUCUGACCCUGGCUGCAACCAGACAUGCCAGUGUGAAAUCCAGUUGAAAGGGUCGCACGGCUGAAGCUGCAAUAUAAAGUAAAGAUGCUCUUCUUUCAGCAACACCCAAGUAAGAAUCAGAAACAGGUUGACGAGUAUGAGAAGGUCUGGCAGAGUGGCAGGCAGGGGACUGCGCCCAGACAUGGCGGACCACAGAAACAAGAUCCGACAAGCCACCGAGCGGGGGAGGAAGGUGAGAGCAUCCACCAUUUUUAAAUUCAACUCCUCUUAUUGUUCAAUGAAAGAGUUUGGCGGAACAAAACAGUGACAGUAAACAAGACACGUCUUUGUAUUCAGGCUUUGAA